rnacentral:tRNA from 1 species
GCCAAUGUGGCGGAACUGGUAGACGUGCCCGAUUUAAAAUCUGGUGUCCCUCGGGACGUGAGGGUUCGAGCCCCUCCUUUGGCA